UGAAAAUCCAAUGUCAAGAAGGGGUAGGGAAGAGUAACAGCGAAGAAACAAGCAAAUUAACUUGACAUAAAUCAGAAAAAGAUCUCAGAAACUUCACUCCAAGAAUUUGUACCUAUUGACCUAGCAUCUUGAAAGCUGUCUACAGACUACAGGAACACACCUGGAAGUCAACAUUUAAAGCAUUUCUUAAAUGCACACCACCAUUUUAACUAUUCAACCUGUUCAUUCCUUUAAAAUAUAUCCCUGGGAUCAACCAUACCCCUGCGCUACUGUGCUACCUGCUGAGGAUGCAAACUUCAAAAGACACACGGAUGGUUCCUGCCAUCACAUCCUUACAUUCUUGUGGGGAAAGCUUGCAUUCUUGUGGGAGAUGUGUACAGACAAAAAGUAAGAGAACACAGACCAGGACAAUGAAAUCCUGGAGCAAGCAAGCAUGAGACGUAAGAAGAUUGAACCACAAAUGUUGUAGAAAGAGUGCCUGACACUGAGAGAAUGGCAUGUGCAAAAACUCAGAAUGAAACCGAAUAAGAAACAUUCUGGAAACCAGAAGAUUAUGGAUGAAAGAGAGAUGUAAGCAUGGAAGAAAAAGGACAAAAGAUGUGGCUGCAGAGAUUUUUCAGGUGGAAGAAUUUGGGGCUAAGAAGACUGACAAUAAACUUGAGAAAAGUUGCAGGUAGCCAGGAACUCUGUAAGAUUAUGAUGCCAAUACUUCCAUAUGACCUCAAUCUUGCCAAACGUAGAGAUUUAAAGAAGAAAAAGGGUGAGGAAAAAGAAUGAAAUUAUCCAACAGAAAUUAUCCAAGAGGGUUUCUGAAAGGACAGCCUGAAGGCAGCUGUAUGAAGAAAUUCUUUUUCUCUAGUGGAAAAUGAGGCAUUGAAACACAGUGUUCCCAACCUCAAUUUAAUUGAACCUCUUCAAAAAGGCAAUAUUGCAGAUUUAGGCUACUCCGUCAGCCUGGGCCCACAGUAAAAGGAUGUGAAGGAGAGCUGCGGCUGACUUGCAAUGGGCACGCAGAGUGAGUGACAAACUCCGGAGGUCUAAACCACUGAGAUUCGGGAGUUGACUGCUAACACCCAGUAGCCUGGCUUAUCCCAGCUCGUUACAUGUGUGUACACAUGAGAGGUUACUUAAGCAACGCAUCACAAACACAACCACACAUAAAAUCCUCAUACAUGUAUGUGAAUAAAAAUGUCUUGCUCAUGUUUUGUUUUUGAGGGAUUUCAGGGUCACUAGAGGGGAAGGAAAAGAGUGUCAGUGUAGAUAGAUUGGUAAGAUUCCUAUUUGUCAAUAAACAAAACUGCUUUUGUACUGUU